UACAGAGGGUGCGAGCGUUGUUCGGAAUUAUUGGGCGUAAAGGGCGCGUAGGCGGUGCGGUAAGUCACCUGUGAAAUCUCCUGGCUCAACUGGGAGCUUGCAGGCGAAACUGCCGUGCUGGAGUGUGGGAGAGGUGCGUGGAAUUCCUGGUGUAGCGGUGAAAUGCGCAGAUAUCAGGAGGAACACCUGUGGCGAAAGCGGCGCACUGGACCGCAACUGACGCUGAGGCGCGAAAGCUAGGGGAGCAAACAGG
rnacentral:rRNA from 1 species